UAGAGGAAGUAAAAGUCGUAACAAGGUUUCCGUAGGUGAACCUGCGGAAGGAUCAUUAUCGUACUACGGGGGCACGAAAGGCUGUCGCUGACCUUCAAAGGUCGUGCACGCCUAGAGUGCUCUCGCACAAAUCCACCUCACCCCUUGUGCAUCACCGCGUGGGGGCUCCUUUUGGCUCGUUCCGAAGGGGCGCUCACGUUUCAAACACACAUACCCAUUAGAAUUUAGUGUAGAAUGUCUUAUAUGCGAUGACACGCAAUCAAUACAACUUUCAACAACGGAUCUCUUGGCUCUCGCAUCGAUGAAGAACGCAGCGAAAUGCGAUACGUAAUGUGAAUUGCAGAAUUCAGUGAAUCAUCGAAUCUUUGAACGCACCUUGCGCCCCUUGGCAUUCCGAGGGGCACACCCGUUUGAGUGUCGUGACAUCCUCAACCUUCCUGGUUUUCUUGAUCAAGAAGGCUUGGAAUCUGGAGGUUUUUGCUGGCCUCCCUUUCGAAGCCAGCUCCUCUUAAACGAAUUAGUGGGUUUGACGUUUUCGAUCCUCGACGUGAUAAGAUGACCUACGUCCGGGAU
rnacentral:misc_RNA from 1 species